rnacentral:tRNA from 1 species
GCCUGGGUGGCUUAGUCGGUUAAGCGUCCGACUUCGGCUCAGGUCAUGAUCUCACGGUUCGUGAGUUCGAGCCCCGCAUCAGGCU